rnacentral:rRNA from 1 species
AACGAACGCUGGCGGCAUGCCUAACACAUGCAAGUCGAACGAGACCUUCGGGUCUAGUGGCGCACGGGUGCGUAACGCGUGGGAACCUGCCCUUAGGUUCGGAAUAACUCCCCGACAGGGGUGCUAAUACCGGAUAAUGUCUUCGGACCAAAGAUUUAUCGUCUUUGGAUGGGCCCGCGUUGGAUUAGCUAGUUGGUAGGGUAAGAGCCUACCAAGGCGACGAUCCAUAGCUGGUCUGAGAGGAUGAUCAGCCACACUGGGACUGAGACACGGCCCAGACUCCUACGGGAGGCAGCAGUGGGGGAUAUUGGACAAUGGGCGAAAGCCUGAUCCAGCAAUGCCGCGUGAGUGAUGAAGGCCUUAGGGUUGUAAAGCUCUUUUACCCGGGAUGAUAAUGACAGUACCGGGAGAAUAAGCUCCGGCUAACUCCGUG